rnacentral:rRNA from 1 species
ACGGUUGUCCCGGUUUAAGCGUGUAGGUGUGUGUUCCAGGUAAAUCCGGUUCACUUUAACACUGAGGCGUGAUGACGAGGCACUACGGUGCUGAAGCAACAAAUGCCCUGCUUCCAGGAAAAGCCUCUAAGCAUCAGGUAACAUCAAAUCGUACCCCAAACCGACACAGGUGGUCAGGUAGAGAAUACCAAGGCGCUUGAGAGAACUCGGGUGAAGGAACUAGGCAAAAUGGUGCCGUAACUUCGGGAGAAGGCACGCUGACACGUAGGUGAAGUGAUUUACUCAUGGAGCUGAAGUCAGUCGAAGAUACCAGCUGGCUGCAACUGUUUAUUAAAAACACAGCACUGUGCAAACACGAAAGUGGACGUAUACGGUGUGACGCCUGCCCGGUGCCGGAAGGUUAAUUGAUGGGGUCAGCGCAAGCGAAGCUCCUGAUCGAAGCCCCGGUAAACGGCGGCCGUAACUAUAACGGUCCUAAGGUAGCGAAAUUCCUUGUCGGGUAAGUUCCGACCUGCACGAAUGGCGUAAUGAUGGCCAGGCUGUCUCCACCCGAGACUCAGUGAAAUUGAACUCGCUGUGAAGAUGCAGUGUACCCGCGGCAAGACGGAAAGACCCCGUGAACCUUUACUAUAGCUUGACACUGAACAUUGAGCCUUGAUGUGUAGGAUAGGUGGGAGGCUUUGAAGCGUGGACGCCAGUCUGCGUGGAGCCGACCUUGAAAUACCACCCUUUAAUGUUUGAUGUUCUAACGUGGACCCGUGAUCCGGGUUGCGGACAGUGUCUGGUGGGUAGUUUGACUGGGGCGGUCUCCUCCUAAAGAGUAACGGAGGAGCACGAAGGUUGGCUAAUCCUGGUCGGACAUCAGGAGGUUAGUGCAAUGGCAUAAGCCAGCUUGACUGCGAGCGUGACGGCGCGAGCAGGUGCGAAAGCAGGUCAUAGUGAUCCGGUGGUUCUGAAUGGAAGGGCCAUCGCUCAACGGAUAAAAGGUACUCCGGGGAUAACAGGCUGAUACCGCCCAAGAGUUCAUAUCGACGGCGGUGUUUGGCACCUCGAUGUCGGCUCAUCACAUCCUGGGGCUGAAGUAGGUCCCAAGGGUAUGGCUGUUCGCCAUUUAAAGUGGUACGCGAGCUGGGUUUAGAACGUCGUGAGACAGUUCGGUCCCUAUCUGCCGUGGGCGCUGGAGAACUGAGGGGGGCUGCUCCUAGUACGAGAGGACCGGAGUGGACGCAUCACUGGUGUUCGGGUUGUCAUGCCAAUGGCACUGCCCGGUAGCUAAAUGCGGAAGAGAUAAGUGCUGAAAGCAUCUAAGCACGAAACUUGCCCCGAGAUGAGUUCUCCCUGAGACUUA